GCGUUUUCAGCUCGCAGUUUUUCAGUCUCCUGCAAAACAGGAAAAUGAUAUUUAGAUGCGGGUACUGAGUGGACAUUAUUCUCAUAACCUGUCGUGUUUCCAACUUUGAUCUGAUUUCUUCUUUUUCAUGGAAGGCCUUCAGCUCCAAAGAUCUUGUUCGUUCCAUCUCCAGAGCCAUCUCCAGACAGGUAUUCUCUUUGAUUUUGAGAGCGUUUUUG